UAGGGAAUCUUCCGCAAUGGACGCAAGUCUGACGGAGCAACGCCGCGUGAGUGAAGAAGGAUUUCGGUUCGUAAAACUCUGUUGUUAGAGAAGAACAGCGCAUAGAGUAACUGUUAUGCGUGUGACGGUAUCUAACCAGAAAGCCACGGCUAACUACGUGCCAGCAGCCGCGGUAAUACGUAGGUGGCAAGCGUUGUCCGGAUUUAUUGGGCGUAAAGCGAGCGCAGGCGGUCAAUUAAGUCUGAUGUGAAAGCCCCCGGCUCAACCGGGGAGGGUCAUUGGAAACUGGUUGACUUGAGUGCAGAAGAGGAGAGUGGAAUUCCAUGUGUAGCGGUGAAAUGCGUAGAUAUUAGGAGGAAUACCGGUGGCGAAGGCGACUUUCUGGCCAUAAUCUGACGCUGAGGUACGAAAGCGUGGGUAGCAAACAGG
rnacentral:rRNA from 1 species